GUUUUGGUUCCAGAGCGGAACUUCAUCUUCUUCGAACUAACAAAUUCUCUUUCAGGUUGAAAAUGGCGUUCUCUCUUAAUACAAACCUCAACCAACCUUCUCUCAGUUGUGGAACCAAGCUAUAUUCAGGACUGAGGCUUCAAUCUCCAGGUCUGUAUGCAACUGGGAGGCCUAAUUUGACAGCAGAAUUAUUUGGCAGGGUUAACAAGAGCCUGCAAUGCGGGACUCGCAACCAUAGACCAAUAAGGGCAGGAGUUAGAAUGAUGCCUAUAGGGACACCAAGGGUGCCCUAUAGAACUCCUGGUGAGGGAACUUGGCAAUGGGUUGAUUUGUGGAAUGCCCUGUACCGAGAGCGUGUGAUCUUCAUUGGACAAAAUAUAGAUGAAGAAUUUAGCAAUCAAAUAUUGGCAACAAUGUUGUAUCUGGACACUAUCGAUGAUUCCAAAAGGAUCUAUUUGUACAUUAAUGGUCCUGGUGGAGACCUUACUCCAACCUUAGCUAUCUAUGAUACUAUGCAGAGCUUAAAAAGUCCUGUUGGUACCCACUGUGUGGGAUUUGCCUAUAAUCUAGCAGGCUUUAUUCUUGCUGCUGGGGAAAAGGGAAAUCGCUCUGCAAUGCCUCUUUCAAGAAUUGCUCUACAAUCACCUGCAGGGGCUGCUCGUGGUCAGGCUGAUGACAUUCGAAAUGAAGCAAAUGAGCUUCUUAGGAUCAAGGACUACCUUUACAACGAGUUGGCUAAGAAAACAGGACAACCUGCUGAGAAGAUUAACAAGGACUUGAGCAGAAUGAAACGCUUCAAUGCUCAGGAGGCGCUUGAAUAUGGGCUAAUUGAUCGUAUAAUCAGGCCACCUCCAGUAGAUGCUGAUGCUCGUCCGAGAGAUCCAUCAGCUGGUCUUGGUUAGUGUUUAUGUUUACGUGUUCAUCAAAUCGGCUUAUGACCAUUAGAACUUGCAGAAAUUUUCUUAGUUAUCUGUAUAAUUGGCUAUUCAGUAAGGAAGAAGCAUUUUGUUUUGUUUGUUUUUGCAACCUCCCAUAUAGUAGGAGCUACUUAAAUACUUUGAAGUUUGCCUAAAAAAAAAAAAAAAAAAAAAA
rnacentral:misc_RNA from 1 species